rnacentral:rRNA from 1 species
AUGGUCCUGAUCUGCUAUGGCAUCCAGUAUCUCAUCGAACACCCUCUUCCACCCAACGCCGACAGUCAGUAUCGUGAACUUGACACCCGCGUCGCCCUCGCCAUGUACGCCGCCCUCUCCAAUCAGAUCGUUGACCACGUGAUCGGCGCCACCACCACUUUCGAUCUCUGGACCCGGAUCCGGGACUACUUCCUCGCCAAUCACGCGGCUCGCUACAUGACGCUCAACCGCCAAUACCGCAACCUUAAACAGGGCGAUCUCUCCGUCGACGAGUAUGCGCGACGCAUGAAGCUGCUCACUGCGGGUCUCGCCGACAUCGACCACGCGGUCUCCGAGGUGGACCUCACCACGCAGUUCCUCCACGGUAUUGACGGCCGUCUCGACACCAUCCGGGUCGUGCUGGGGGACACGGUUCCCCUGCCCCCGUUCGAGACCGUCUUCUCGCGCCUGAAGCUCGCCGAGGAGAACCUCGCUCAGCGCACCGCAGAGGCCCCGGCCACGGUCCUUGCCGUUCAAGGGUUCGGCGGCCCGUCCGGUGCCUCCGGCUCCAACAGCGGCGUGGGCUCUACUUCCCACUCGGGCGAUCGGGUGGAUCGGCCUCAGGAUCGGGUGGACCGCGCUCCCGGCCGCGACUACAACCCUCGCGGCGACGGUGGUGACCGUGGGGGCGAUCGCGGUGGUGACCGCGGACGCGGGCGCGGCCGUGGCCGUGGUCGUGGCCGCGGCGGCCAGCAAGGACGUGGCGGCUCGUCUUCUGCGCCGUUCAACCCUUACAUGGGGUUCUUCGCCCCGUACGGCAUGGCCAUCCCUCCACCGCGCCCUGGCUGGGUGCCACCGAACGUGGCUGGCGUCCUCGGUCCACGUCCGGGGUCUCAUGCUCAGGCGUACCCGAUGUAG